rnacentral:lncRNA from 1 species
AGAGGACAAAAUUUUUUUAAGAAAGAAAAGUUAAAACAUCAGGGUUAGGGCUCUUAUUUCCAUCAUAAUGGGAGACUACAUAGUCAAUCAUUGAAGGGAGAAAUGGGAAGUAGAGGUCAUUAUUAUCCUCUAAAGAGAGAAAAAGGAAAGCUACCUAAUUCAACCGAGGAUUAUUAGACAAAUAUUCCAAAAAUUACUGAGUGAAAAACCUAGUCAACACGUGCCUAAUCUCAGGCACUCCCUCAAACCAAAAC